AGCAGCCGCGGUAAUUCCAGCUCCAAUAGCGUAUAUUAAAGUUGCUGCAGUUAAAAAGCUCGUAGUUGAAUUUCGGGACUAAUAUGUCGGUCGUGCCUCGGUACGUACUGGCUUAUUGGUUUCUCCUUUCUGAAGAACCAUGAUGUCAUUUAUUUGGUGUCGUGGGGAAUCAGGACUGUUACUUUGAAAAAAUUAGAGUGUUUAAAGCAGGCUCACGCUUGAAUACAUUAGCAUGGAAUAAUGAAAUAGGACGUUUGAUUCUAUUUUGUUGGUUUCUAGGAUCGACGUAAUGAUUAAUAGGGAUAGUUGGGGGCAUUAGUAUUCAAUUGUCAGAGGUGAAAUUCUUGGAUUUAUUGAAGACUAACUACUGCGAAAGCAUUUGCCAAGGAUGUUUUCAUUAAUCAAGAACGAAAGUUAGGGGAUCGAAGACGAUCAGAUACCGUCGUAGUCUUAACCAUAAACUAUGCCGACUAGGGAUCGGAUGAUGUUAAUUUUUAAUGACUCAUUCGGCGCCUUACGG
rnacentral:rRNA from 1 species